UACGUAGGGUCCGAGCGUUGUCCGGAAUCAUUGGGCGUAAAGCGCGUGUAGGCGGCUUGGCAAGUCAGUUGUGAAAGCCCGGGGCCCAACCCCGGAACUGCAUCUGAAACUGCUUGGCUCGAGUCCCGGAGAGGAAGGCAGAAUUCCCGGUGUAGGGGUGAAAUCCGUAGAUAUCGGGAGGAAUACCAGCGGCGAAGGCGGCCUUCUGGACGGUGACUGACGCUGAGACGCGAAAGCGUGGGGAGCAAACAGG
rnacentral:rRNA from 1 species